UGGGGAAUUUUGGACAAUGGGCGCAAGCCUGACCCAGCAAUGCCGCGUGCAGGAUGAAGGCCUUCGGGUUGUAAACUGCUUUUGUACGGAGCGAAAAGGUCUGCCCUAAUACGGUGGGCUCAUGACGGUACCGUAAGAAUAAGCACCGGCUAACUACGUGCCAGCAGCCGCGGUAAUACGUAGGGUGCAAGCGUUAAUCGGAAUUACUGGACGUAAAGCGUGCGCAGGCGGUUAUGCAAGACAGAGGUGAAAUCCCCGGGCUCAACCUGGGAGCUGCCUUUGUGACUGCAUAGCUGGAGUGCGGUAGAGGGUGAUGGAAUUCCUCGUGUAGCAGUGAAAUGCGUAGUUAUGCGGAGGAACACCGGUGACGAAGGCAAUCCCCUGGACCUGUACUGACGCUCAUGCACGAAAGCGUGAGGAGCAAACA
rnacentral:rRNA from 1 species